rnacentral:tRNA from 2 species
GGGCGGGUAGCUCAGCGGCGAGAGCAUUCGCCUUACACGCGAAGGGUCCGGGGUUCGAAUCCCCGCCCGCCCA